CUCGAUACGGGCAAACCCCGGGCAACCGGGGGGCGCAAAGCUGAGGGUCCUGCACGACGUGUGGGACAGCCUGGCUGCCGAAG
rnacentral:ncRNA from 1 species